rfam:Loxodonta africana unplaced genomic scaffold scaffold_109, whole genome shotgun sequence.
GCAGUGGUGGUUCGGUGGUAGGAUUCUCGCCUCGCAUGCAGGAGACCUGGGUUCGAUUCCCAGCCAGUGCA